rnacentral:rRNA from 1 species
GUGGGGAAUAUUGCACAAUGGGCGAAAGCCUGAUGCAGCGACGCCGCGUGAGGGAUGACGGCCUUCGGGUUGUAAACCUCUUUCAGCAGGGACGAAGCGCAAGUGACGGUACCUGCAGAAGAAGCACCGGCCAACUACGUGCCAGCAGCCGCGGUAAUACGUAGGGUGCAAGCGUUGUCCGGAAUUAUUGGGCGUAAAGAGCUCGUAGGCGGCUAGUCACGUCGGCUGUGAAAACUCAGGGCUCAACCCCGGGCUUGCAGCCGAUACGGGCUAGCUAGAAUUCGGUAGGGGAGACUGGAACUCCUGGUGUAGCGGUGAAAUGCGCAGAUAUCAGGAAGAACACCGGUGGCGAAGGCGGGUCUCUGGGCCGAUAUUGACGCUGAGGAGCGAAAGCGUGGGGAGCGAACAGG